rnacentral:rRNA from 1 species
AUGGAUGGAGUGGACGUGACCUUUCAUGUCGCCGGACGGAUGUUCUCGGCCCAUAGGCUCAUUCUCGCCGCGAGGUCACCUGUUUUCAGGGCGGAGCUCCUUGGAGCCAUGAAGGAGAAAGCCGGCGGUCCAAUUGAAAUCCAUGACAUGGAAGCUAAUGUGUUCAAGUGUUUGCUCCAUUUCAUAUACACCGACUCACUGCCUGAUCUUCAAAUGGCUAGCAACCAAGGUGAAGCACAUCUAGAUGUGAUGAUGGCUAGCCACCUACUCGUGGCAGCAGACAGGUACAAUAUCGAGAGGCUGAAACUGAUAUGCAAGCACAAGUUAUGCAGCCACAUUGAUGCCGACAUGGCGGCGACCAGUUUGGCGUUAGCUGAGCAGCAUUGCUGCAAUGGACUCAAGGAAGCCUGUCUACAGUUCCUUGCUUCUCCUUCCAAUUUGGAGGCGGUGAUGACAAGUGAUGGCUACAAGCAUCUCAAAAGCAGUUGCCCAUCUGCCCUAAAGGAGUUGAUUGCUAGGCUCCUGCCGCCUAACAUGAAAGCUGCCAAGGAUAUUGUCAUGGCACUUUAG